UACGUAGGUGGCAAGCGUUGUCCGGAUUUACUGGGUGUAAAGGGCGUGCAGCCGGGCCGGCAAGUCAGAUGUGAAAUCCACGAGCUUAACUCGUGAACUGCAUUUGAAACUGCUGGUCUUGAGUAUCGGAGAGGUAAUCGGAAUUCCUUGUGUAGCGGUGAAAUGCGUAGAUAUAAGGAAGAACACCAGUGGCGAAGGCGGAUUACUGGACGACAACUGACGGUGAGGCGCGAGAGCGUGGGGAGCAAACAGG
rnacentral:rRNA from 1 species